UGUUCCUUCCGCAAACUGAAAGACAGUCGUCUGUUUUGCAUGUUUUCUUUCGAGUAUUUUUUUCCCUUCUAAAUGAUGAAAUCAACUUCAAUCAAGAAGUUUGAAUACUAAGUGAAUGAAUAGAUAUCACUGGAAAACUGCCAUAAAGGAAAUAAUAAUGAAGUUGCAGAAAAAGAUUCCUAUAAUGACUAUAAUUUAAAAAAAUCUACAGAUAUGAAAGAAAUAACUGAAUUAAAAGAUAAGAAUCAAAAUGAAGAUUCAAACCUCUCGGAAGAAACUGCAGACUCAUCACUUACUGCUUGCAUGUACACUUCAUCACCUAGUCCACUUGAG